rnacentral:rRNA from 1 species
GACGAACGCUGGCGGCGUGCUUAACACAUGCAAGUCGAACGGAAAGGCCCUGCUUUUGUGGGGUGCUCGAGUGGCGAACGGGUGAGUAACACGUGAGUAACCUGCCCUUGACUUUGGGAUAACUUCAGGAAACUGGGGCUACUACCGGAUAGGAGCUCCUGUUGCGUGGUGGGGGUUGGAAAGUUUCGGCGGGUGGGGAUGGACUGGCGGCUUAUCAGCUUGUUGGUGGGGUAGUGGCUUACCAAGGCUUUGACGGGUAGCCGGCCUGAGAGGGGGACCGGGCUCAAUACGACUGCGGUACGGAGCAGACUCGUACAGGGGGCAGCAGUCGGAAGUAUGGCACAGUGGGCGGGAGCCUGUUGCGGCAGCGCUGCGUUCGUAAUGACGGUCUGCGGGGUGUGAACCGCAGUCGCCUAUGACGAAGCUGUUGUGACGGUAAUGAAUGAAUAAGCACCGGCUAACUACGUG